rnacentral:antisense_RNA from 1 species
CCCAGAGAACUGCCACUCCAUGGCCUGUGGGCGUCCAGGGGUGAGCGGCAGCAAUGGCGUCCCAUGGAUGAAACACACUGGAAAUCGUGCAGAAGAUGGGAAGAUGCAGGCUGGAGUGUGGAGGACUGAGACCCUGCCUGGUAGACGGCACCGUCACAGCAGCCGUCGGCCUGCUAGGAGGAGCAUCUCCACCAGCAGCAGGCCGGCCCCUGAGGGAGACAGCAGAGAGCUGGAGUCCUGGACAGCCAGGCGGGGAUCCUUCAGCGGGACACAGGGGACACAGCAGGCAACAGGAGCUCAGAACGCUCUCAGCGACCCUGCUGAGUAACUUGUGGACUUUGUCGUCUGGCCAGUCAUGCAGGAUCCGGCACAGGACGUACAGCUCAGCGCUGGGGAGGGGGUCCCUGAAAAAGUCACCUGGUUUAAAGACAAAAAAGGAGACACGUCCGUCAGGUAUGGAAGAAGCAGUCCUCCCCGGACAGAUCCUGGGACCGCCACCUGCAUCCUCAAUCAGGGACAGAGAAGAGAGGGGUGUGGGCGGGAAUGGGUCUUCCUGAAGUAUAUCCCCGCGGGGACUUGAACAGAGCUCCAUGAGGAGCUGGUUAGUGAUGUCACGCCCGUGUGGUUUGGCUCCGGCUGAGAAAACGCUGGGGACAGUGGCUCACACCUGUAGUCUCAGCACUUUGGGAGCCUGAG